GACGAACGCUGGCGGCGUGCUUAACACAUGCAAGUCGAACGGAAAGGCCCUGCUUUUGUGGGGUGCUCGAGUGGCGAACGGGUGAGUAACACGUGAGUAACCUGCCCUUGACUUUGGGAUAACUUCAGGAAACUGGGGCUAAUACCGGAUAGGAGCUCCUGCUGCAUGGUGGGGGUUGGAAAGUUUCGGCGGGUGGGGAUGGACUCGCGGCUUAUCAGCUUGUUGGUGGGGUAGUGGCUUACCAAGGCUUUGACGGGUAGCCGGCCUGAGAGGGUGACCGGCCACAUUGGGACUGAGAUACGGCCCAGACUCCUACGGGAGGCAGCAGUGGGGAGUAUUGCACAAUGGGCGGAAGCCUGAUGCAGCAACGCCGCGUGCGGGAUGACGGCCUUCGGGUUGUAAACCGCUUUCGCCUGUGACGAAGCGUGAGUGACGGUAAUGGGUAAAGAAGCACCGGCUAACUACGUG
rnacentral:rRNA from 1 species